GACGAACGCUGGCGGCGUGCCUAAUACAUGCAAGUCGAGCGAAGUUUUUCUGGUGCUUGCACUAGAAAAACUUAGCGGCGCACGGGUGAGUAACACGUAAAGAACCUGCCUCAUAGACUGGGACAACUAUUGGAAACGAUAGCUAAUACCGGAUAACAGUAUUUCUCGCAUGGGAGAUAUUUAAAAGUUGGUUAUGCUAACACUAUGAGAUGGCUUUGCGGUGCAUUAGCUAGUUGGUGGGGUAAAGGCCCACCAAGGCGACGAUGCAUAGCCGACCUGAGAGGGUGAUCGGCCACACUGGGACUGAGACACGGCCCAGACUCCUACGGGAGGCAGCAGUAGGGAAUCUUCCGCAAUGGGCGAAAGCCUGACGGAGCAACGCCGCGUGAGUGAAGAAGGAUUUCGGUUCGUAAAGCUCUGUUGUUAGGGAAGAAUGGAUAUGUAGUAACUAUACAUGUAAGAGACGGUACCUAACCAGAAAGCCACGGCUAACUACGUG
rnacentral:rRNA from 1 species